UUUUUAAUCACUUGAAUUUUUACUGUGCACAUUAAUUUUUAAAUUAAAAGUUAAUUUUAAUUAACACACUAUCAGAUGGAGAAUAAAAAUCCACCCAAAGCAGGCCCUUCAGAAAGUGGACGGCAGGGUCCAUUUUGAGUGGCAUCACCUUGGAUCAGCGUGGGGGCAGGGCUCACUAUAGGACUCUCCUGGGGCCAGCGUUGGAGGCUGGGGUGACUCCUAGCUGAGGGGCUCUUGGUGCCCUGGGAUCUACCAGACUAGGAUGAAGGAACCAGAUACUAACUUUCUGCCCUCUAAUUUAGUCAUGAAACCUCUUUGGGAAUCAGCUCCUUGAGGGCAAAAUAUACACUUGCGUAUAUUGAUCACUCAAUAGUGAUCUCUCCCUAUCUUUAUACUCUUAACAGCCAAAAAAAAAAAAAAAAAAAAAAAAAGUCUUAUUUCCAAUUAGAUUAUGAAAAGCUUGAUUUUCUGCAUAUGCCUUUGAAAAGCACAACACUGCUCCCUCCCCACAAAAAAACGUUUUAGAGGGUCCCUUCUGCUCUAAUAAAACUCCACUGAAUUUGUCUGCUUAAUUUCUCAACUAGUUUUAAGAUUUGCCUCCUUCAAAAAGAAUGAAGGAGAAAAAUCCCAGUUAGUUGGGUUCCAGUCGCAUGGAGGCUUUCCUGUCCGAAGCCACAAUGCAGAACCCUCGGCCCUGUGAACAUGCAGUCUGCAAUCUGGACACCUUUUAUUUAAUUUCAAGAAUUCCCUUUGCAUGGCAAACAGGGGUCUGAGGAAAGCCAAGCGGUGCGGGUGAGGGAGGAAGCAGAGCGCUCACAAAUGUGGUGCCAGGUGCAGGCUGCCCACUGUGCUCCCGGAUGGGAGAGAAGCGGGGUGGAUGGGCGGAGCAGGAAAAGUCAUUCUCAACACAAACAAGGGUCCUGGGGCACGCCACCCCACCCCAGUGCCUGGCCAUGCAAGACGCAGAAAUGGAGACGGUGGCCCCUCAGGACCAUGGAGCAUUGCACCAACACAAGGGAGUCCUCUGGGCGCCUCCUGAGGCGCCUGCAGGGUCUGGAGCAGAGGAGGUCUGUGUCCACGUCCAUGUCCGUGAGCAUGGUGAGUUAACAGAUAGCACCGGUUGGGAGGCUCAGGGCAGGAGAGAGACUGAGGCUCUCCGCCUCUAGCACCCACUGCCUGGCCCUCCUGGGAAGAGAUUCACUUCCUCGAUGGCGGCCCCUGCAGCAUGAGCCUUGCUCUCACCCUUUGGCUCUGGGGAAACUGGAAUAAAUCAUCAGGGUGAGCUCUGACCCAGGGCACCAGCUGCCUCUGGAGGGCCGGGUCACUACUGUGUA